CCCCUCCCCGCCCUGCCCCGGCGCAAGCGCGGCGGCUCUACCCAGCGCCGCGGUCCUGGCUCUGGCCAGACGUGGGGGAAGCCGGUUGCGGCUGUCCCUCCCGGGCCGCGGUUCCCUAGCUCCCCCGCCCCCGUCCCGGCACCACCGCAGGGCCCAGAGGGCCGAGGCAGCACCUGCUGGGACGGGAGUCCCGGCGGCGGCAGCUCCAAGUCCAUCAUGAUGAGCUGUGGACCGUGUGUUGGGGCUCCCCGACGGCGGCCCUGUUCCGGCUGCCGAGGCGCGGCGCGGACAGGGCGGCUCUGGUGGCGGCGGCGGCGGCGGUGGCGGCUGCGUCGGCGGCUCCUCCGGGCUCCCCGGCACUCGCUCAGGUCGUCAAAGGCAAACGGAGAAGCCCCUUUAGGUCGGAGAGUGGUCAGUAUUGCCCACCCAGAGCUGGGAGAAAAACGGGAACCCCAAGAGAACCUCUUCCCACCAAAGCGCAGCCACCACGCCACAGAUG
rnacentral:lncRNA from 10 species